GACGAACGCUGGCGGCGUGCUUAACACAUGCAAGUCGAACGGAAAGGCCCUGCUUUUGUGGGGUGCUCGAGUGGCGAACGGGUGAGAAACAAGUGAGUAACCUGCCCCUGACUUUGGGAUAACUUCAGGAAACUGGGGCUAAUACCGGAUAGGAGCUCCUGCUGCAUGGUGGGGGUAGGAAAGUUUCGGCGGUUGGGGAUGGACUCGCGGCUUAUCAGCUUGUUGGUGGGGUAGUGGCUUACCAAGGCUUUGACGGGUAGCCGGCCUGAGAGGGUGACCGGCCACAUUGGGACUGAGAUACGGCCCAGACUCCUACGGGAGGCAGCAGUGGGGAAUAUUGCACAAUGGGCGGAAGCCUGAUGCAGCAACGCCGCGUGCGGGAUGACGGCCUUCGGGUUGUAAACCGCUUUCGCCUGUGACGAAGCGUGAGUGACGGUAAUGGGUAAAGAAGCACCGGCUAACUACGUG
rnacentral:rRNA from 1 species